rnacentral:rRNA from 1 species
UACGAAGGGGGCUAGCGUUGCUCGGAAUUACUGGGCGUAAAGCGCACGUAGGCGGCUUUGCAAGUCAGAGGUGAAAGCCCGGGGCUCAACCCCGGAAUUGCCUUUGAGACUGCAUCGCUAGAAUUGUGGAGAGGUAAGUGGAAUUCCGAGUGUAGAGGUGAAAUUCGUAGAUAUUCGGAAGAACACCAGUGGCGAAGGCGACUUACUGGACACAUAUUGACGCUGAGGUGCGAAAGCGUGGGGAGCAAACAGG